GAUGAAGAACGCAGCGAAAUGCGAUAAGUAGUGUGAAUUGCAGAAUUCAGUGAAUCAUCGAAUCUUUGAACGCACAUUGCGCCCCUCGGUAUUCCGUGGGGCAUGCCUGUCCGAGCGUCAUUUAACCCCUCAAGCCUAGCUUGGUAUUGGGUGCUUGUCCCGCCUCUCGCGCGGCGACUCACCUCAAAGUCAUUGGCAGCCCGCAUCUCGCCGGCCGUGAGCGCAGCACAGACGCGCUCUUGGCAACGACGGAUCGGCUCUCCAAAAGCUUAUUUCAACCACUGACCUCGGAUCAGGUAGGGAUACCCGCUGAACUUAAGCAUAUCAAUAAGCGGAGGA
rnacentral:misc_RNA from 1 species